UGAAUGUUGGUACAAAAGCUAUACGCUCUGAAACAAAUUUCACUUUCCAAGAAAAAUAUGGCCUCAGUUUCCAGAUCAUGCUAAAAAUAUCUGCUUUUGUCGGAUUCUAGACUCAUCCAAGUUCUCUGGCUAUUUACACUUGUACCAUCUACUCUAAUUCUAUAAAGCGUGCCAUUGACUCAGUAGCUUCUUCGGGAAGGUGAAGAAACCGACGGCAGUUGCUGCACUGUUUCAGAUCUGCAAUCAACAUCAGCUUUUACAAAAAUCGGGUGGGUUAAACAUGAUCAUAAAGACUUGAGGAGAUCAAUCAGGAAAAUUUUGACAGUAAAUACGGUAUACUGUGGCACACUGGUCAAGUCUCUAUCAGCAAACAUAACAACUGCAACUCGACCCACCUGCUCUCCUGCAAAAGAUGGUAAUGAACAAGGUCGUAAGGGCACCAGGGAUUAUAGACAACAUUAAAAGAUCAGUUUGUAGACUAUUAAAUGUAAUUCCAGCUACAGACAGUUUUAACAUCAAUGCUCCUAAUUUGUCUACAAGUUGGAGAGGGUGGUUCAUAUAUGUCUACAAGGAAGGAUGAGACCUGGGUGAGCCAGACAGAAUUGUCAGCAAACUGUUGCAGCCUAGGGUCUAUGUGAAAUUGAUUAAUCUGGGUCUUGAGGUGGCCUUCAUCUCUGUUCAACUGAAGCCCCUCAGUUCGAUUUGGAGUUUUCAUGCAAAUGUAGAAGAAAGAGAUCCAAGAUUUCAGAACCAACCCAUCUUUUUGAACGAAGUUUACGAAAGAGGUAGCACUGAAAACCGUGAUGGUUAUACACCACACUUUGAGGGAAGUUGAUGGUACAUUUUGUGAUGCUAAGUAUAGCUGGACUAGAGGUCAUAUUCUGAACAUAUCUCAUUUUCUUUUCAGUAAGAAUAAUAAAUGGCCAUGAAGAUUCUUUCAGACGAAGCAUGGACUAUUGUACCUGCAUUCAUUUAUAUGCAUCAUAUCUCGAAGAAUGACUGGACUGUUUUCGUGUCCUGAAGUACGAUGUUCAGAAAGAUCACUUGAGAACCAAGGAACUUGAAACCCCAGACUUACUAAGGCAUCUACCUGCUUUGCAACAGCUUCUUUCUCGCCUUCUUGAUUGCCAGCCACAACUGUUACAUAUAGUCCCUAGCCUGAUUCAAUAUGCUAUUUCAAUGGUUGCAGGUAAAAUUGCCAAGUUGUAUGCUGCAGUUACAGAUGGUAUUGUCAAUUUAGUUAACAACGCAGGCCUUGGUUUUCUAUGUGCACAAUGAUGGGCAACUGCUACAAUUAAUGAUGGGCAAUACUUGAUGUUCUCAUAGAAUGGUUUCAUAGGAUGUUAUUGUAAACUGCAAUAAUGUAAACCAAACAAUUUUAGACGGAUGAAAUUUUGGCUCAUUUUAUCAUUCUGUCAUUAUUGUAAAUUAUUAGCAACAGCAAACCCCGCAGCAAAGCGCGGGCACUAUUGCUAGUAAUUAUACUAUAUUCUAAAGCCGAAUCCCUUGACUGUUCAUUCAACUGUUCCUAAGGGUGUGCAAUGACGGUAUUGCCCUCGAUUUUCUCUGAAUUACCAUGCUGCCAUUUCCCCACAAUAUAUAAGCAAAAUCCCUAAUUCUUUGAGUCUUCGGGAAGACCAUCAAGAUUGACAUUCACUGUUUCGCAGCAUCAAUCUGGAUUUAUUGCAGAAGAGGUGUAGAGAGAGAGAGAGAGAGAGAGAGAGGUAUCUGCGUCUGCAAUAGUUGCAGAAAGUGGAAGGAGGUUUUCUAAGUUUGGGAUUUUAGUGAUUGAUUGGGAGAGGUUGAAGGUAAUAUUGAUCUUACUCGAACAAGUGUGUCGGUCAAGCUGUUGGGUGCGAAGGCAGUUGAUAGAAGGUAAUUUAGAAAAAAGAAGAGGAGGAAUUCUGUCUUUUGCUUUUGUCUAAUAUCGGUGCUGCAACUAAAUUUGGAUUGUUUGAUAUCGCUUGAGGAGGGAUCAGAUUGGCUAGAUUCCAUACUCCUGGAAUGAAGUUUUAGGCUUUGAUUUUGUUUCUUAGUAUUAACGUUUCGUUCAACCUUUAAAGCAAGAGAAAAUUAAUAUAGACAGAGAAGAAAUUUGGUCGUCUAGAAGCUUUGUUUUGUUGUCUUUGUGUGUUAUUUAAUUGAUGGUCUAGGUGCGUUUUGUGAAACAUACAUAUGUUUUGGUUACAAUUGGAAUUUUGUCAUUUGUUUUUGUUGGGUUUUUUAUUUUUUAUUUUUAUUAUUUAUUAACUUGGAUCUAUUUAGGGUGCUGAUUAGAUAGUUUACUAAACAAUCAGUGGGCAAACAUAUACUCAAUAAUAUAUGAAACUCUGCCAAUGAAUUAGAUCAGUGCUAAACCCCCAUUGCAGAAAGGAAGGGAUGCCGGACAAAAACAAGCCUUUCGGACUUAAACGAAUUUGUCGGAGAAGGGGGGCUUUACUUUCUCGACCAUUAGGGAGGGGGAUAAAUCUUUCAUGCUUUACGGUAUUGCAGACUCGGAUAAGCUACUAUCAUUUAAGACAUUUAAUUUAAGAAUAGUUCCUUCGUAAAGCCACUCUCUUCUUCUCUGUGUUCAGAACCUUCUUCUUUAUGUCAUACUUUGAUAGGCAUUCUUUCCUGAUACCAGCUUGCUUAAAAUACCAGGUGUUAGCUGAAUCAUUCUCUUUACGAUUGAAAUACCAAGUUUUGUAAUAUGCAAAAUUAUAAUUGUAUUAUAUUAUGUAGAUCAAGAUUUGAGGGGUGAAAAAAAAAAAUUAAACCCGCAGCAUCGUGCGGGAGAAUUUUCUAGUAAUAUACUAAAGCUCGGUUGGUACUGUACACUGUUCAUCUUGAGCCGAAAUGAAGUGACGGUUUUGCCCUCGCUACUUGCCUCAACUACAGUCUUGCCAUUGUUUUACGAAUAAGGGCGAUGGAGGCUUCGAGAGACUGAUCGAGAGAGAGAUAGAGACAGCAACUCUGAGACAAAGGAAAACACCCAAAUACCCAAAUCGUUGAUCCCGAUUGUGCCACUACUGAUUCUUCCGUGUCUUCUACUUUUGCAGUCAUCAUCUGCUCGGUCGUUGAAUUCUUCUAUCUCUACAGUCGUGUAACCAAGAUUGAGAGAUUUUGUGAUCGGUGGAUUAUAGUUUGAAAAAUGGUUAGAGCAUUUCUCAGUUCGUGUAGAGGGGGCUGGGUUAUUUGGUUUUGUUCUGGUGGAGAGGAAGACGAAUUUGGGUUAGUGGUUUAAGGUAUCUGUUUUUGCUUUUUUAUUUUUUACUAAUCAAUUGAAAUCUAAUUGAUUCUUUAGGGUUGUCUAUAUUAAACUCGGUUUUGUUUAGUAGUUGUCUAUAUUAAACUCGGUUUUGCUUUUCUUUUCUUUUCUGCUUCCAACCUUUUCUUUUCUUUUUUGCUUCCAAAAAUCCUUAGGGUGGUUCUAGUUAGACCUCCAAAUUUGUUAUUUGGACCUCUCAUAUUUAGUACACCUCUAAUUUACUUUUUAGAAUACUUGAAAGGCUAAGUAGACCUUUUUAUUUUUAUCAAAACACCCUUGAACAUGAGAUACAACAAUCUUUUAUCUGAAUCUUCAACCACAAGAAGAAAAAUAAAUCAAAAUCAUAUGAUAUUGCUCUCUUAUGAGUAGGUCUCUCCUCCAUCAAAAUUAAUCACAGUGUUGGCCGGUUCUCAAUCUUGAUUAUGUUGGAAUCCCUUUGAAUUUGCUAAAAGAAGGAUUUCAAGGGUUUUGGGUUGGAAGGUUGAGUAAUAAUUAUAUCAUAAUAUUCAAUAAAUUUAGUUUAAGGAAAUUCCAAAUCAGAAUGUUUUGAAUUUAAUUUUGUAUUAAAUGAAAAUUAUUAUUUUUACUUAAUUGUUUUAGGUAAAUUAUAAAACUAUAUAGGCAAUAUAAGGAAAUUCAUGAAAAAAAAAUUAAUUGAAUGUUAUAUUUGGGAAGGUGAGAAGAGUAUUUAUUUAUUUAUUUAUUUUCUCUCAUUUUUAUCUCUUUGCCCUUAUUUGUCUUUUCAUAUAACUUGACAAAGUCUAUUAAUAAUUGAAAAAAGUUGGAGGUCCAAAUAUCAAAUUUGGAGGUCCAACUAGAAUCACCCGUGAAAAAAAUGGAAACAGGAAAAAAAAAAAAAAAAAAAAAAGGAAACUUAUUCAAAAAAAUGGGGAACAAAGGCAAAACACGGAGGUGCAACUGAGUUUUGAACUCGACAGGAGUAAGGAUGAGUAGCAAUGAGAAUUAGCUCUAAAAUAUAUAUAUAUAUAUAUAUUGUUUCGCUGAGGUGUCACAAAAUCAGAGGCCGCCCUUGUGCUGCGGCACCACCCACACACCCCAAGGCCGCCCCUGCCAAUACAAAUCACUGAUGGUCACAAUCUCACAAUACUUCACAACUUAUUUGAAAACCCUACUUUCCUCGAACAACUAGGAAUCAGAAAUUGCACCAAAUUGUUGGCUUUGCUGCAGGCGAUGUAUCACAAGCAAAAGAUAGCACAUGUUAGUGAGUGUUCUAAAUUGAGCAAAUGGUUCAGUAAGAAAAAAAAAAAUGAAGGAUCAGGGGUGGCCCAAUAUAGCACAUGUUAUAGAGGUUAAACAUUAGAAUGUAUUGCUUUUAUCAAUUUGGCUUUUUGUUUAUGGUAUAAAUUGUAGAGCUCAAGAGCUUCACCAAAAGAGUGCGGCAAAGGGAGGUGCUACUUUGGAAUGAAAUAAACCGGCCAUCAUAUGUUAAUAGAACUCAAAGUGAUUUUGUGUACGAGUGUGAUUGUAGAAGUGGCUUUUGUAUUUUCUUCUUUAUCGAUAUUGAUUUUCUUAUAUUCA